rnacentral:rRNA from 1 species
AAUCAACGCUGGCGGCGUGCCUCAGACAUGCAAGUCGAACGAUUAAGACUCUCUUCGGAGAGUGUAUAAAGUGGCGCACGGGUGAGUAACACGUAGGUAAUGUACCGAAGGGUGGGGAAUAACUUAGGGAAACUUAAGCUAAUACCGCAUAAUGCAGCGGCUCGACAUCGAGACAGUUGUUAAAGGAGCAAUCCGCCUUUUUGAGCAGCCUGCGGCAGAUUAGCUAGUUGGUAAGGUAAUGGCUUACCAAGGCUACGAUCUGUAACCGACCUGAGAGGGUGGUCGGUCACACUGACACUGAAUAACGGGUCAGACUCCUACGGGAGGCAGCAGUCGGAAUUUUUGGGCAAUGGGCGAAAGCCUGACCCAGCAACGCCGCGUGAAGGAUGAAGUAUUUCGGUAUGUAAACUUCGUAAGAAUAGGAAGAAUAAAUGACGGUACUAUUGUAAGGUCCGGUCGUAACUACGUGCCAGCA